UGGAAUUCGAAAUGGAUCUUCCCGGAGAAGACCUGUAUAUAAAGAGCCUCCCAACAAGCUUUGUGCACCAAAUUCGUUCAAGGGAGCUCGAGUGACUGCUUAUUUCUUCGAAGGAGAGAAUGGUGGCAAAAACUGCAACCCUUCUUUUGAUUUUAUCUCUAGUGGUCUCUAUGGUGAUGGCAAAGCAAACAAAAGAUCUCGUGGAGGCACGCAGUGGUGAGAGUGAGGAUGGGGUGGACUAUGACGACGACGCGGAGAGCGAAGGAAUGACACAGGGAACUGGCAAACCGGCAAUACCCAGACUUCGUCAUGGUGGCUCCAAUGGUGGAGAUGAAUAUGAGUCCUUUCCAGAGCCUGAAUAGAUAACUGACCGGCAAGCAAAAAGGAGAUGCAAUGCUACUUCCUGAGGCAACGUCUCCGCCAACCGGCUUUGAUAUUGAAUAAAAAUUACAGCAUGGCA